rnacentral:rRNA from 1 species
UACGAAGGACCCAAGCGUUAUCCGGAUUUAUUGGGUUUAAAGGGUGCGUAGGCGGGUUAUUAAGUCAGUGGUGAAAGCCUGCAGCUUAACUGCAGAACUGCCUUUGAUACUGGGGAUCUUGAGUUCGGGAGAGGUGAGUGGAACUGCGAGUGUAGAGGUGAAAUUCGUAGAUAUUCGCAAGAACACCAGUGGCGAAGGCGGCUCACUGGCCCGAUACUGACGCUGAUGCACGAAAGCGUGGGGAGCAAACAGG